UAUGCAACGGGCUAUAACACUCCCGGAGGAGCCACGUUCCCGAAGCCUUUUUCCCCCGCGACGAACUGAUGCUGGCCUAGACGCGGCGAAGUGCACCGGAGAGAACCCCGGAUGAUCCGCCGCGCCCAAGUCUGGUCACAAGCGCUUCCCUUUCAACAAUUUCACGUACUAUUUAACCCUCUUUUCAAGGUGCUUUUCAUCUUUCGAUCACUCUACUUGUGCGCUAUCGGUCUCUGGCCAAUAUUUAGCUUUAGAAGACAUAUACCUCCCAUUUUGAGCAGCAUUCCCAAACUACUCGACUCGUCGAAGGAGCUUUACAGAGGCUCGGCGGCCAGCCAGACGGGGCUCUCACCCUCUGUGGCGUCCCGUUCCAGGGAACUCGGGCGGCACCUCACCAAAAGCAUCCUCUACAAAUUACAACUCGGGCCCUAGGGACCAGAUUUCAAAUUUGAGCUGUUGCCGCUUCACUCGCCGUUACUGGGGCAAUCCCUGUUGGUUUCUUUUCCUCCGCUUAUUGAUAUGCUUAAGUUCAGCGGGUAUUCCUACCUGAUCCGAGGUCAACAUUUCAGAAGUUGGGUGUUUAACGGCUGUGGACGCGCCGCGCUCCCGAUGCGAGUGUGCAAACUACUGCGCAGGAGAGGCUGCGGCGAGACCGCCACUGUAUUUCGGAGACGGCCACCCGCUAAGGGAGGGCCGAUCCCCAACGCCGACCCCCCGGAGGGGUUCGAGGGUUGAAAUGACGCUCGGACAGGCAUGCCCGCCAGAAUACUGGCGGGCGCAAUGUGCGUUCAAAGAUUCGAUGAUUCACUGAAUUCUGCAAUUCACAUUACUUAUCGCAUUUCGCUGCGUUCUUCAUCGAUGCCAGAACCAAGAGAUCCGUUGGUUGAAAGUUUUGAUUCAUUUUCGAAACGCCUACGAGAGGCGCCGAGAAGGCUCAGAUUAUAAAAAACCCGCGGAGGGGGUAUACAAAAAGAAGUUUUUGGUUGGUCCUCCCGGCGGGCGCCCUUGGGUCCGGGGCUGCGACGCACCCGGGGCAGAGAUCCCGCGAAGCAACAGUUUGGUACGUCACAUUGGGGGGUGGGGGAGGUUGGAAAAUCCGG
rnacentral:misc_RNA from 1 species